GUGUAUAAAUAUCUUGAGAAUAUAACAGAAUUCUGAUAUAUCUUUUAAAUAAAUUUAAUACAUAUUGUUACGAAUAAAAACAAGAUAUUAUUCAUUUUUAAAUUUCAAAAUAUAAUAAAUUAUAUAUAAGGGGGAGGGGGUUUAUAAUAUAACUAAAUAUAUUUUUUUGAAAUAACUAAAUAUUUUCUAUUACACCAACUCUCCAUUAAUUAUUUGUUAAGGUCAUGUUCUUUGAGUGAGCUUCUCUCCCGUUCAUUUUAGCCAUUUUUUCGUUACAUAUAUACAUUGUUCACCUACUAUUUUAGAAUGAUCCAUAAAUCAAUAUUAUUUUUCUUGUUCUAUACUUUUAGUAUCUCUCCACAUAAAAGGCAAGUGAAACUGAUUGUUAUAGUGUCGUCUCAACAUUGGCAAAAAAUAAGUUACAAAAAAAAAAAAAACAUUGGCAAAAAACUAUAGCAAAAACGAACAAUAAUCAAAGUGUCACGAGUCUUACGCUAUCACCAAACCUAACCCCAAAAUCAGAUUCUACUUCUACCUACCUCCUCAGUUUCUAUCAUAGUACAAUCUUAUUAAAUUAAUCUCACUACGUGCCAAAAUGUGAGCCUCUUGGUCCAUUUUCAUUUCCCACCUUCCUAAUUAGUUACAUAUUUAUUAUUUACAUGUAUGUUCAAAAAUAUAUACAAACUAUCAACAUCUAACAUUUAAAUAAAUAGUUUUAAACUCAUACUCAUUUCCUCCAAAAGAAAAUAUAUUAAUGGGAACUCCAUACAUAUAACAACUUUCUUGACUACUCCAUGAAAUAUGUAAUAACAAAAUUUAACUAACCAACUUAUUAAUCUCUCAAUAAAAAUCUUAAAUUUACAGUGUAAUCAUAACUUUACUAGAGCUAAAACAUCCAAAAAACCCUUAUUAAUAAAUAAGGAAAUAAUAAUUUAUCGAAUAAUCUUCCUCCUCAUCUCCAUUGUACCAAUUCUCU
rnacentral:lncRNA from 1 species